UGCUCACUUCAGAACGUAAGCCUAAACUUGGAAUGAUGCAGAGAGGAUUGGGAUGGCCCCUGCGCAAGGAGGACCUACAGAUCUGGAAUGAGCUCCCUGUUUAA